rnacentral:rRNA from 1 species
GACGAACGCUGGCGGCGUGCUUAACACAUGCAAGUCGAACGAAGAGCGAUGGAAGCUUGCUUCUAUCAAUCUUAGUGGCGAACGGGUGAGUAACGCGUAAUCAACCUGCCCUUCAGAGGGGGACAACAGUUGGAAACGACUGCUAAUACCGCAUACGAUCCAAUCUCGGCAUCGAGACUGGGUGAAAGGUGGCCUCUAUUUAUAAGCUAUCACUGAAGGAGGGGAUUGCGUCUGAUUAGCUAGUUGGAGGGGUAACGGCCCACCAAGGCGAUGAUCAGUAGCCGGUCUGAGAGGAUGAACGGCCACAUUGGGACUGAGACACGGCCCAGACUCCUACGGGAGGCAGCAGUGGGGAAUCUUCCGCAAUGGACGAAAGUCUGACGGAGCAACGCCGCGUGAGUGAUGACGGCCUUCGGGUUGUAAAGCUCUGUUAAUCGGGACGAAUGGUUCUUGUGCGAAUAGUGCGAGGAUUUGACGGUACCGGAAUA